GUUCAGUGUCCAUGCUCCUCUGUGCACCCCAAGUUGCUGCAAUCUCUAUCUCUAACUAGCCUUGGACUUGUGAGGUGCCCUCUUUGCUUGAGAGGCCACUCUGUCCAUACACCCUGGGGUGUGGUAACUGAGGGGUGUCCCCAGUCAUGUUGGGAGGAAAGCAGACAGACCACAGAGUUCUGUACUGGACACAGUCUGUACAGUGCCUGACUCACAGCACUGGAGGAUUGUCCAUCCUUGUUCCCAGAGAGGGGCUAGGCCAGCCAAACCCCUCACUUCAUACUCUGACAAUGGAUCGAAGGGGCCUGGAGCAAACUGCAAUACCCCUGUCCGUGGACAUCUCCAUGUUCUGUGAGGAACCCGGUAUGAACAUGGAUGUCACAGUGAGCUCCAGGCCUUCGACUUUUGGCUGGGUCCUCCAGCGCUUCAGCAUGCACACAGACCUUUCCCAUUCUUCCACCGCUGACUCUACAGGUGGCCAUUGUGUGGUCUGUGGCAAGGUAGAAAAAGGGACCAGAAUGGGAGCCAAAAUCCUGGAGUCCUCAUUGUUACUCUUCCAUAAACCAGCUGUGUGACAAGGGUUCAUUGCAGCAGUUGAUUCACAUCCUCCAACCCUGCUUUGUGUAAUAUGUGUCAAUCAGCUAUUCAAUAAAGCCAUGAAAUUGCCAAAACUGUUUCACCAUAUGGAGACCAAGCAUCCUGGAUCAAAAGACAAGCCUUGGCAUUUUUAUUUUUUAAAGAAAAAAAUGUGAACACAAAGAAAAAAGGCAAGUAUUGGUGACCACCACUUCAUCACAUGUAUCUGCACUGAAAGGGCCAUUCUCUGUGGGUAAUCCCAUUGCUAAAGCUAAGAAGCCUUUGUUAUUGGUGAAGAGUUGGUUUUUCUGGCUGCUGAGGACAUUUGUCACGAACAUUUAGGAGAAGCUGCAGUUCAAAAGGUGGCAUGAGUUCUUCUUUCAGCUAGAAAUAUAGAUGGAUAAGUUGAUAAAAUAGCAGAGGAUGUCGAGGCACAAUUGAUGGAGAGGAUUAAGGAGGUACUGUGGUGUGCAAUAGAGGUUGACAAGUCUACCAAUGUUUACAACAAGGCAACGAUGCUGUUUUUGUGUAAUUUAUUUUUCAGGAAGAUGGGCAUGAGGAUAAGUAAGCUAUGUGAGGUUUUGUGAACAACAAGUACUACAGCCCCAAACCACUGUGUUCAAUAUUUGGAUGAUGACAUGUCAGAAAAGCUGAAGUGCUCAUCUUGUUUCAGAUAGAGUGGCCACCAUGAUUAGAUAGCUUUCUGGUUUUACUACUUGAAUCAAAGAGGUCACUUUUGAAAGUCUAUGCACUGUAUCAUUCUUAUGGAAAUGCUGGUUAGCCACGAAAUGUUACCUGAAUGUAACAAUGUUUUGCAAAGUGCGAUUAAAAUGAUCAACCACAUUAAAGCACAUGCCCUUACUUUAUUCUCUUCACAGAGCUCUGUAAGGAGAUAGACACAGAACACACAUAUUUUCUCUUAUAUAGAGUUGAGAUGGCUUUCCAAAGGCCAGAAUUUUUUACUUAUGAGAGCUACUGCAGAGAUUUCUUUUAGAAAAAUAGCCUCCAUUUGCAGCACAUUGCAAUGGCCCAGAAUGGGUUGAAAAUUUGCUUACUCAUGUGAUUGUGUGACAUAUUCAUCCUGCCCAACAAAUUCAACCUAUCACUUCAGGAGACAAUUACAACUCUGUUCAAAUUGGUAGAUAAGGUGGCUGUAUUGAAAGACAAACUGGAAUUAUAGGAGCAGUGAAAGAACAUAGGGAUUUUUGAUAUGUUUCAAAUAUUAGCACAGAUUUUGAAGAGACUAAGCCAGAGUUUCCUUACUCCUAGCUGGUGCAUGAUCAACUAUCUCAGCUUUUGAGAGUUUGAGUUUAUUUCCCAACCACAAAAGGCCCCCAAACUGGAAAGGAAUGAACACAUAACCUACUUGUAAUGACCCAGGUAAAUUAACUUUGUGCUGGAAGAGGAUCAACUUCUGAAGAUUGUAAAUGAUAGUGGCCUUAAAAGUAUGUCUGAGACAACUUCAAAUUGUCAUGCAUUCUGGAUUAAAGUCAAAGUGGAAUAUCCUGAAAUUGCCACAAAAAGACAAAAGCCUUGUUCCAUUUCCAACAUUCUGUCUCUGUGAAGCAGGGUUUUCUGUAGUAACAGCAACACAGAUCGGGUAUCAUUGUCUCGCAUCAUCUCAGAUGGGUCCAAUUAGCUGCAAGAAACAAGUUCAGGGCUCCUGUUGAUUCUGCAUUAUGAAACUUUUUAAUAAGAAGAGAUCCCGCUUGAUGAUUGUUUAUGAUAGUUCACAGACAACUGAGGUUUUGCCCAUAAAAUCUUUUCCUACACAAUGUCUUCAAGAAUUCUCAGAGGAGGUGAGUCAAUCCCAGCGCCCAGGAGGAGGAUCCCCAGCCACCAUUCCACUGCUCCCAGGGCAGAGGGUGUGAGCCAAUUCCAGCACCUAGGAAGAGGCUCCCCUGCUGCCAUUCCACUGCUCCCAGGGCAGAGGAGGUGAGCCACAUGGGUGCCAGUAGCACCCCCACCCUGUGGAAAUGAGAAGACACAUAAACAAGCCUCAAAAACAGACUUCCAGAUCACCUACAGCAACCCAAAAGGGAAACAAGAUGGAAAAAUCUGAUACUCAACAACCUGGACUCCCUAAACUGGCAACAAAAGAGGACCUGGAAAAAAUGAAAUCAGAAAUAAUUUCUCAGAUAACAGCAGAGAUUGUGCCCAUAGUCAAGACAUGAUUAAUAAAUCUAGAGAGGACACAUAAAAAAAUAGAAGAGCUUAGGAACAUGAUGGAAUCCCAACAUAGGAAACAAAUGGAGUCCAUAAAACAGAUACAAACAAAUAUCCAGGAGAUUAAAAACUCCAUCAAAAAUCUACACAGCAGAAUGAGCCAAUGUGAGGACAGAAUCUCAGAUAUAGAAGAUAAGAUUUCAAUUAGUGACCAG
ensembl:lncRNA